rnacentral:tRNA from 1 species
AGAUUCGCCGGGCUAAAUAUGGACUUCUAACCUAUAUAGGGGGGUUCAACUCCUCCGUAAUCUU